GAACACACAGCAAGGAAAUGCUGAGACUGGUAGUCGGGCAGUCUGUCAAGAUCCAAACCCGAACUUCUCACUGGCAUGUUUGUAUUUUGAGGAAUGAGCAAAUACACAGGAGGGAAAACCAUAUCACGAGCACCUCUUCAGCAAAGCCCACCUCCCUCUCUCGUUUGAUUCCCCGGCCAUCCUUAUCAAAGACCCUCCAGGUGAACAGACAGCCAUCCUCAGCAACAGUCAGCAGGAACUGAUCAUCAAAGGCAGGGGGUACUUCAUGGCACGGAUCGUUCCCACUGAAGUGCCCACAAACAUCAUGCGUCCCGAAUGUGAGAUGGUGAUGGCUGUGUAGAUGACGUCAAAGGCUGAUAUCUCUCGAAGGAUC